AACGAACGCUGGCGGCAUGCCUAACACAUGCAAGUCGAACGAGACCUUCGGGUCUAGUGGCGCACGGGUGCGUAACGCGUGGGAACCUGCCCUUAGGUUCGGAAUAACUCCCCGAAAGGGGUGCUAAUACCGGAUAAUGUCUUCGGACCAAAGAUUUAUCGCCUUUGGAUGGGCCCGCGUUGGAUUAGCUAGUUGGUAGGGUAAAAGCCUACCAAGGCGACGAUCCAUAGCUGGUCUGAGAGGAUGAUCAGCCACACUGGGACUGAGACACGGCCCAGACUCCUAGGGGAGGCAGAAGUGGGGAAAAUGGGAAAAUGGGGGAAAGCCUGACCCAGCAAUGCCGGGUGAGUGAGGAAGGCCUUAGGGUUGUAAAGCUCUUUUCCCCGGGAUGAUAAUGACAGUACCGGGAGAAUAAGCCCCGGCUAACUCCGG
rnacentral:rRNA from 1 species